rnacentral:rRNA from 1 species
AUACGGAGGGUGCAAGCGUUGUCCGGAUUUAUUGGGUUUUAAGGGUGUGUAGGCGGUGUAUUAAGUCAGUGGUGAAAGCCUGCGGCUCAACCGUAGAACUGCCAUUGAUACUGACACACUUGAGUAUGGACGAGGUAGGCGGAAUUUAUGGUGUAGCGGUGAAAUGCAUAGAUACCAUAAAGAACACCGAUAGCGAAGGCAGCUUACUAGGCCAUAACUGACGCUGAGGCACGAAAGCGUGGGGAGCGAACAGGAUUAGAAACCCGUGUAGUCC